rnacentral:rRNA from 1 species
GACAGAGGGGGCAAGCGUUGCUCGGAAUUACUGGGCGUAAAGGGCGCGUAGGCGGGAUGGCAAGUCGGUCGUGAAAUCCCUCGGCUCAACUGAGGAGCGUCGAUCGAAACUGCCGUUCUUGAGGGUUGCAGAGGAGACUGGAAUUCCCGGUGUAGCGGUGAAAUGUGUAGAGAUCGGGAGGAACACCAGUGGCGAAGGCGGCGAUCUGGGAAGAUACUGACGCUGAGGUGCGAAAGCGUGGGGAGCAAACAGG